AGUGAACGCUGGCGGUAGGCCUAACACAUGCAAGUCGAACGGCAGCACAGUAAGAGCUUGCUCUUACGGGUGGCGAGUGGCGGACGGGUGAGGAAUACAUCGGAAUCUACUUUUUCGUGGGGGAUAACGUAGGGAAACUUAUGCUAAUACCGCAUACGACCUAAGGGUGAAAGCAGGGGAUAUUCGGACCUCGCGCGAACGAAUGAGCCGAUGUCGGAUUAGCUAGUUGGCGGGGUAAAGGCCCACCAAGGCGACGUACCGUAGCUGGUCUGAGAGGAGGAUCGGCCACACGGGAACGAGAACACGGUCCAGACUCCUACGGGGGGCAGCAGAGGGGAAUAUUGGACAUUGAGCGCAGUCCGAAUCCAGCCAUACCGCGUGGUUGAGGAAGUCCUUCGGGUUUUAAAGCCCUUUUGUUGGGAAGGAAAAGCAGCAGGUUAAUACCCCGCUGUUCUGACGGUACCCAAAGAAUAAGCACCGGCUAACUUCGUG
rnacentral:rRNA from 1 species